rnacentral:misc_RNA from 1 species
AAAUGCGAGAGGUAAUGUGAAUUGCAAAUUCAGUGAAUCAUCGAGUCUUUGAACGCACAUUGCGCCCCCUGGUAUUCCGGGGGGCAUGCCUGUCCGAGCGUCAUUUCUGCCCUCAAGCACGGCUUGUGUGUUGGGCCCCGUCCUCCGAUCCCGGGGGACGGGCCCGAAAGGCAGCGGCGGCACCGCGUCCGGUCCUCGAGCGUAUGGGGCUUUGUCACCCGCUCUGUAGGCCCGGCCGGCGCUUGCCGAUCAACCCAAAUUUUUAUCCAGGUUGACCUCGGAUCAGGUAGGGAUACCCGCUGAACUUAAGC